UUUAGAUAACAUUGCAUAAUUAGUGAAAAUGUCUGAAAAGUGGCGUGACAAGCAUAAAAUAGUGAUAAGAAAAUUAUUUGAAAAAUUUCAUUUGAAAAGUUUAUUGAAAACUCUCUAAAAAGGUAUUGCACAAUCUUAGAUGACAUUGCAUAAUUAGUGAAGAAAGUUGAAUAAAUUGUCUGAAAAGUAGCGUGACAAGCAUAAAAUAGUGAUAAGAAAAUUAUGAUUAUUCUUCUCAGUGCAAAAUUAUAGUUUAAAGUUGUUGCUAGUUAAGAAAAUUAUAAUAAUUUGAAAUCCUCAUUGAAAAAUGAUUUAUAAUUAAAAAGGAUGUCUAUAUAGAGAAAGAAUAAACACGAUGACCCCUAAACCGAUAUAUAUGAUUUGGACUACCACUCAGAAAAUGUAUACGGAAACGAAACCUCAACACAUCUAUCUCGCAACCCAAGCACUUGGCAACAUCUCACAUAUGAUGAAGACUUUUCAAUAUUUAUAUUAUUAGGCUGCCCUUGAAACAAAAACUGCAUUUCUGUGUGCUGCAAAGUCAUACGGAAGUGAAAACCACAAAAAUGGAUUAUUAGCAAGCUGAAGAUUCAAGGCAUCAACUUUUGACCAUAGUUUUAUUUCGAAUGAAAAAACCACAAAAGGUAUAUUUUUUCAAACAUGAUAAAUACGUAUAUAUUGUUAUCACUUUCGCUAUAUUUUUACAUUUUUUCGAAUGAUACAAGAGUUAUAAUUUAUAUACAGAGUGUUAAAAUAUUCUUUUUUUAUAUUUUACGAUCGAUCGAACAAUAAGAUCUCAUAAUUCUCUAUCAACCCU